GAUGAACGCUAGCUACAGGCUUAACACAUGCAAGUCGAGGGGAAACGGCAUUGAGUGCUUGCACUCUUUGGACGUCGACCGGCGCACGGGUGAGUAACGCGUAUCCAACCUUCCCAUUACUGUGGGAUAACCUGCCGAAAGGCAGACUAAUACCGCAUAGUCUUCGAUGACGGCAUCAGAUUUGAAGUAAAGAUUUAUCGGUAAUGGAUGGGGAUGCGUCUGAUUAGCUUGUUGGCGGGGUAACGGCCCACCAAGGCGACGAUCAGUAGGGGUUCUGAGAGGAAGGUCCCCCACAUUGGAACUGAGACACGGUCCAAACUCCUACGGGAGGCAGCAGUGAGGAAUAGUGGGCAAUGGACGGAAGUCUGAACCAGCCAAGUAGCGUGCAGGAUGACGGCCCUAUGGGUUGUAAACUGCUUUUGUAUGGGGAUAAAGUUAGGGACGUGUCCCUAUUUGCAGGUACCAGACGAAUAAGGACCGGCUAAUUCCGUG
rnacentral:rRNA from 1 species